rnacentral:rRNA from 1 species
AACGUAGGUUCCGAGCGUUAUCCGGAUUUACUGGGCGUAAAGCGCGUUCAGGCGGUUUGGCAAGUCGGGCAUGAAAUCUCUCGGCUCAACCGGGAGAGGUUGUCCGAUACUUCCAGACUUGAGGGCAGUAGAGGGUGGUGGAAUUCCGGGUGUAGUGGUGAAAUGCGUAGAUAUCCGGAGGAACACCAGUGGCGAAAGCGGCCACCUGGACUGCACCUGACGCUGAGACGCGAAAGCUAGGGGAGCGAACGGG